UACAGAGGUCCCGAGCGUUGUUCGGAUUCACUGGGCGUAAAGGGUGCGUAGGUGGUGAGGUAAGUCGGAUGUGAAAUCUCCAGGCUCAACCUGGAAACUGCAUUGGAAACUACCUUGCUUGAGGAUUUGAGGGGGGAUUGGAAUACUUGGUGUAGCAGUGAAAUGCGUAGAUAUCAAGUGGAACACCAGUGGCGAAGGCGAAUCCCUGGAAAUACCUGACACUGAGGCACGAAAGCUAGGGGAGCAAACAGG
rnacentral:rRNA from 1 species